rnacentral:lncRNA from 1 species
CCUGGGUGCUCUGCACUUGAUGCAUCUCCCAACAGAUGCAAGGCAAGCUCUGCUCCUCCUGUCUGGCCUGGCUUGCAGUGAUGGAUUAAGUGGGUCAGAGUAGGAGGAGUCCUGGUGGAAGCAGUGCCUCUGAAGUGAACCUAUGGACAAGUUCCUUUGUAUGUAGAAGAGAUUGCCACUGAUGUGAAUUCUCUACCCAGGACCCCUGAACUGAGCAAUGACAAGCUGCUCUGUUCUGCCCCAUGAAGAACAGACACUUGGUAGCAGCAAGUGCUGGCUCGUCUGGAAAUAAGAGUGAGAAGUGGUCUGGUGGGAGCAGACCACCUACUCAUCCUCCAAACUGAGCUGCUGCUGCUGGCAAUGAGGUGGGGAAAUCCCUCUGGCUGUGCCUUGGUGACCAAAUAGGUUUAUUUCCCUCAGCUGGAUAUAGAAAUGGUACCCAAGUCCCUUAGGACAGUCCAGGACCCAGAAAGUCCUUUCUGAUCUUUUCAUCUGGACUUUUCUCCUCUUUCAAAUGAAGUGUUUCCUUCCUGAUGCUUUGAGCUCCCCAUGAUUUGGAUCAUUGUGUUGCCAAUGUUGAAUCGCGU